CCUACGGGUGGCAGCAGUGGGGAAUAUUGCGCAAUGGGCGAAAGCCUGACGCAGCGACGCAGCGUGAGGGAUGAAGGUCUUCGGAUCGUAAACCUUUGUCAGCAGGGAAGAACGACCACUGUGCUAAUCAGCAGUGCAUUGACGGUACCUGCAAAGGAAGCACCGGCUAACUCCGUGCCAGCAGCCGCGGUAAUACGGCGGGUGCGAGCGUUAAUCGGAAUUACUGGGCGUAAGGGGCUCGUAGGCGGUAUGUCAAGUCAAGGGUGAAAUGCCCGCGCUCAACGUGGGAAGUGCCUUUGAAACUGGCGGACUGGAGUGUGUUAGAGGAGAGUGGAAUUCCUGGUGUAGGAGUGAAAUCCGUAGAUAUCGGGCGGAACCUCAGUGGCGAAGGCGACUAGCUGGGCCAUAACUGACGCUGAGGAGCGAAAGCGUGGGGAGCAAACAGGAUUAGAUACCCUGGUAGUC
rnacentral:rRNA from 1 species